CUUUGGUCAAAGUCUGCACUCAGCAUAUUUACUUCAGUGUUGACUUUAGCGCAGUGAUUGUCGUUGGAAGAAGAAACAAUUGAUAUUGUAGAGAUUGCAAGUGAAGUGCGGUGAAGUGAUUGCCUAAGUAUUGGCAAGUUUGGUUAGGUUCAUAAGAAACAGUGUCUCCAAAGACUUG